UACGAAGGGGGCUAGCGUUGCUCGGAAUCACUGGGCGUAAAGAGUUCGUAGGUGGUUCGUUAAGUCUGGUGUUAAAGACUGGGGCUCAACCCUGGAAGUGCAUUGGAUACUGGCGGACUGGAGUGCAGUAGAGGCAAGCGGAAUUCCCAGUGUAGCGGUGAAAUGCGUAGAUAUUGGGAAGAACACCGGUGGCGAAAGCGGCUUGCUGGGCUGUAACUGACGCUGAGGAACGAAAGCUAGGGGAGCGAAUGGG
rnacentral:rRNA from 1 species